GACGAACGCUGGCGGCGUGCUUAACACAUGCAAGUCGUACGGUAAGGCCCUUUCGUGGGUACACGAGUGGCGAACGGGUGAGUAACACGUGAGUAACCUUCCCACAACUUUGGGAUAACGCUAGGAAACUGGUGCUAAUACUGGAUAUGGGCUCCUUCUGCAUGGUGGGGGUUGGAAAGCUCCGGCGGUUGUGGAUGGAUUCGCGGCGUAUCAGCUUGUUGGUGGGGUAGUGGCCUACCAAGGCGGCGACGGGUAGCCGGACUGAGAGGGUGACCGGCCACACUGGGACUGAGAUAAGGCACAGACACCGACGGGAGGCAGCAGUGGGGAAUAUUGCAGAAUCGGCGCAAGCCUGAUGCAGCAGCGCCGCGUGCGGGAUGACGGCCUUCGGGUUGUAAACCGCUUUCAGAAGGGACGAAGCUUUUUGUGACGGUACCUGCAGAAGAAGCACCGGCUAACUACGUG
rnacentral:rRNA from 1 species